rnacentral:rRNA from 1 species
AGCGAACGCUGGCGGCAGGCUUAACACAUGCAAGUCGAGCGGGCCCUUCGGGGUCAGCGGCCGACGGGUGAGUAACACGUGGGAACGUACCCUUUGGUUCGGAAUAACGCUGGGAAACUAGCGCUAAUACCGGAUACGCCCUUUUGGGGAAAGGCUUGCUGCCGAAGGAUCGGCCCGCGCCUGAUUAGCUAGUUGGUGGGGUAAUGGCCUACCAAGGCGACGAUCAGUAGCUGGUCUGAGAGGAUGAUCAGCCACACUGGGACUGAGACACGGCCCAGACUCCUACGGGAGGCAGCAGUGGGGAAUAUUGGACAAUGGGCGCAAGCCUGAUCCAGCCAUGCCGCGUGAGUGAUGAAGGCCUUAGGGUUGUAAAGCUCUUUUGUCCGGGACGAUAAUGACGGUACCGGAAGAAUAAGCCCCGGCUAACUUCGUG